AAUGAGAAAAAAAAGGGGGCUGCCCAGUAAUUUUCUUUUCCUCUGACAUUUCAGCAACUCCUCCAGUCAUUGCUGUAAUGAAAAUUGGCAACUCUUGAGAAAAACUGUAACCAUUCAUGGGAGAGCACCUGCUACAUGGACCAUGAAGGCAGAGGAGCCUUUCCAGCCCAUAUAUGAUGCCAUUCUUCAAGUGCAUUAGAGGCAAUCCUGUUAAAUAUCCACAGCCGAGUUGCCUAGGUGUCCACAUUUCUAUGAUCCAUCUCUGAGAGGUGACACUUAUAUGUCAUGCAUCUAUGAGUUUUUGCAAAGCUACUUACCUCCCCACGUUCUUUAAGACUCACUUUGCUUAUCUCUACAGUCAGUCACCUGACCAGUUAUUGUUCCUGCUCUGCUGUAUCCUAAAUCCUAAUCCCUCUCCAGUGCUGUCCUUCGGUGUGGCUUGAUUUAGAGCCCUGUCUCCAGGAAUGGAGAGUUCAGGUACAAUGACAAAAAGUUCUCAGACUCUUUUUAGAAACAAUCUCAAAAUCUUAAUUUUGUGGUUGAUGCCUGUCCUCAGGCCAAUGGUGCAAAUGUAAUCCAGUCAAGCAUUUAAACAUUCUGUAUCAGCGGUGGUGAACCUAUGGCACACAUGCUACAGCCAGCUGUUUGUUAUCACUGAAAGCUCUAAAAGGUUCACCAUCACUGUCUAUAUAUUCAAAUGUGGGGGUCCAAAGGUAAGAGAGCCUGAAGUUUCUAUUUGGACUUGUUUUGAGUUUUCAGUCUUGUUGUAGUUUUUUGGAUUUUUCUUUUUCUUUUCUUUUUGGUACCGGGGAUUGAACUCAAGUCUCCUUGUAGUUUGCUCAACGCACCAAUAUUUCAAACCUAGUUGCCUUUGACAUAAUUUCUUUGCACAGAGUGCCCCCUUACCAUUUUACGUAGAAAAUUCCUUUAGAGUCUCUUCUUAUAGAUAUUGUGAAAUAGGAAGAAAAGGUCCAAAGGGAAAGGGGAAGUGGGAAGAGUAAGGGAAAGGGAAGAGGGUAAUGGAAUUAAUAUAAGAAAAGGAAAAAAAAUGGAAACGAAGUCUUUGUAAAUAUUGAGGGCUGGGGGGUUUGGAGGGA
rnacentral:lncRNA from 1 species